GGAUGGUUGGCAGAGUUGGUUUAAUGCACUGGUCUUGAAAGCCGGCUAGGGGCGACCCUCCGUGAGUUCGAAUCUCACACCAUCCGCCA
rnacentral:tRNA from 1 species